UUCCCUCUCUCUGCAUCUUCCCUCUGUUUGCCUCUUUCUCUUCUCUUCGUUCUUGAUGGAAGCAAGUUUCUAUCUUCUUCUUCCCUUAAUCUCAUCAAACCCUUUUCUUCUCUUCUCCAUCGAUUUGAUUCCGCCAAAUUCUCAUCAACGCGCUGUUCCUUCACCUCAAUUUCUUCCAAGCAUGAAACCCCACCCCCUCCAUUAUCGAAACCCUACCAUCCCUUAUCCCACCUUCGUCUCCGCUCACUCCGAAUCAUUUCCAAAAACCACCAUAGAAUUGGAGAAAAACAAUAUGUAUCAACUUUCUUAUUGUUGCUGCCUGCUUAGAUAAGGUCUCCAUAGAAUUCUCUUUUUUUUUUUAAAAAAAAAAAAAGAAAGAAAAUAAGAGAAGAACGAAAUCUUUGAGGGGCAUGAGGCAGCAGUAUAUUUUGUAUGUCCUCAUCACAAGGAGAGCAUUCAAGUAGAAAGAUUAUAUGAUAUGUUUUCUUCGAGUUUAUUCUUUGGAUUUUUUUAUAUUUUCAACUGCCAUUGAUGGCAAAAUUAAAGCCUGGUUAUACAAUAAUAUGGGUUCUAGGGUUGAUUAUGAUGCCCAAGUCAUUGGUGUACUACAGUGCUUUAUAGUGCUGAUGGAAGUAGAUCGUUUUCUUGUGGAACUAGUAAAGACGGAGAGUCAUUUCUUGUUGAAUGGAAUGAAAGUGAAGGAGCCAUUAAGAGAACAUACAAUGAGUUCAGAAAGAAAUCCACUGGUGUUGUGCAGUUUGACACAACCCAAAAUCAAUUUUUGGCUGCUGGUGAAGAUGGCCAAAUCAAAUUUUGGGAUAUGGACAACAUUAAUCUUUUAACAAGCACUGAUGCAGAGGGUGGACUUUAGGUGGAGUUAACUUUUUUAAGUCUUUUGGAAUAUAGCUUACACUUUAUAAGACAUUCCUUAUAUAAUUGUAUGAAUCUAUUCAGACCCUUUCACACUUGAGAUUCAACAAAGAAGGAAAUCUUCUUGCUGUUACUACUGCAGACAAGGGAUUCAAAAUUCUUGCUAAUGCUAAUGGUCUUCGAUCCUUGAGAACAGUUGAAACUCCAGGAUUUGGAACAUUGAGGUCACCAAUUGAAUCUGCUGCAGUCAAGGUUGUGAUAUUUUCUUCACUUUUUCUUGUUUUUUGAUAUUUAGAUCAAAAUGAAUAUUUAUACUGUCCAUUUGGUUUAUGGUAUCUAGGCAUCUGGCUCUUUUGUUGUUAAUGUUAGUUCUGUCAACUGUAAAGUAGAAAAGAGCUCACCUGUCAGGCCUUCUCCAAUUCUUAAGAUGUUUGUGGUUUCUACACUCUUUCUUUGCAUAGUAACGUGCCUAGUGUAAAGCGCCCAAGUUAUUAGACAACGGAUAACCGAUAUCUCUCAACGGAUCAAAGCUUUGAAGUCUAUAUAAAGCUUGAAGAUGUUCAUGUUAAAGAAGUUGAAUCACUAGAGAAUCAUCUCAGUCAAAACAAACUAAGUGUUGUAACACUGUCAGUUUAGUUGGAUGAAUGAAACUUGACUGAGUUGAGUGAAUCUUAGCUUUGCUAAGCUAACAAAUUUCAUUGUAUUCGAGCUAAUUAUGUAAACACUCUUUGACUGAUUAGAAUACAUUUUCUAUUGAGCAUUUGUUGUUUGUGAAAGUCAGGAGUAGCUUUGUGACAAAAAAUACUUAGGUUUUAAUCUCAGGGGGAGAUUAAGGGUAGUGCCAGAAGUGGCCUAUAAAGUAUUCAUUGUAGCUAGAAGUGGCAUAAAGAAUAGGUUGUAAUCAAAGAUUUGAUUAGUGGAACCCUUCAAGGUUUGAAGGAAAACUGGACGUAGCCCAAGAGUUGGGGUGAACCAGUAUAAAACCU